rnacentral:sRNA from 1 species
AUGUGCCUCAUUGACACUGCCAUUAUCUGCUUUGCUUGCUUUCUGGUUUGUCAUCUAUUAUUACUAUCAUUAUUGAUUGGACAAUGUUUAUUAUGCUGUACACACUUAGAAAUGUACUCAAAUCGUAUAUUCCUGACUUUUUUUUUUUUUUUUGGUUUUUUUUUUGGGGGGGGGGGGGGUAAAUAGUAUCAUCUUGAAGUCAUAAUUUUAAUGCAUUUUAAGGUUGUGUAAGAAUGUGUUUAAUAGAAGUUUCUAAAAAAAAAUAAAUAAAUAAAUAGAGGGUGUGUAUUUAUAUUUUUUCUUAUUUAUUUAUGGUUUUUGGUCAAUUUUUUUAUUAAAAUUUUUUUCUUUAAAUAAAGUGAAAUUGUGUACUAAACUACAAAUAUAAUAUAAAAGGUGUACAAAUAUGAUAAUUUUAUGUAUGUAAAUCAAUAAAUUAUUGACACAUUUUCUUUAUCCAAAAGUGUGUAUUACAACACAUAAUUAAAUAAAUAUUUAUUAUUUGCUUGACAUGUAGCCUUGAGAUACUCAAGAAGACCUUUUAUUUAUUUUUCAGUAAUGAUAGUUAUUCACUAUUGGACACUCGUCAUAUCCACUGGCACAUAAUGCGAAAUCGUGUUGUGAAAUCGUGUUUUUAAAACGUGACUUUAAAAAAGAGUGUAUAUCAAGUAUGCAAUAGCUAGCAUGAAAUAAGAUUUUUUAUUUAUUUUUUUGACGAGGUUUAACAUUUCUUUAAUUACAGUGUUCGCUACUGACGAGGUUUAACUCACUUUCAAGUUCAAACUAAGAUUAUAUAUAAUCGGGUUUUUUAAAAAAAUAACUAUAAAUUUCAAACUAUGUUAUUAGUUAGGCAAGAUUUGAAACAUAUUUGGUUUAUAGCAAUUCGACUUUUUUGGAAUCGAUUUCGCCCUUUGAAAAUCCACUAGGAAAUCGAGUUUCUAAAACUUGAUUUUGGAAAUCGAGUUUCUAACACUCAAUUUCCUAGUGGAUUUUCAAAGGGCAAAAUCGACUCUAGAAAAGUCGAAUUGCUAUAAACCAAAUAUGUUUCAAACCUUACCUAACUAAUAAUAUAGUUUGAGGGAUUUUGUUAUUUUUUAAUAAAAUCCUAUAUAAUCAAUUAUGCAUGCCAUAAAGUCGCUUAUAGAAUCUCUUGCGUAGUGAAGUGACAAUAACUCAAUCUUUGGAGGUAAUGCUCUCAUUGUCAGUUAUGGCUUUCUUGUUCUUGUUUUUUCUUUUCAGUACUGGUUUAUGUAAAAACUGGAACUACAUUGCAUAAGAGUAAUUCUUAGUUACUCCCGGAGAUGAUUGGAUUCAUUUCUUGUCCUCUGUCUUCUUGUCAGCAAAAAAUGGAAGAUGAUUGGAUUUUCUUUCUCUUUUUUUCUCUGUUGUCUGUUCCUUGAUAGAAUUUAAAUUAGCAUUUGCAGAAUAGAGAUGGGUUUCUUUUCUUUCAUGUAUUGAUGGGUUCAAACUUAAAAUAUUUGGUGUUGUAUUAUUUCUUUCCGGUUUGAAUAUGAGUAUGGUUUUCUAUUGUUGCAGGGAAUUGAGUUAGCACAAAACUCUAUCGAACACCCUAUAGUUGUUUCUAGCAAAAGAAAAUAUGGGUUUGUAAUGUGGCCUUGCAAUUGAAGAUUUGUGAAAUAGGGACUGAAUAUGGCUUUUGAGCCGUUAAUUUGGUAUUGUCAGCCUGUGGCAAAUGGGGUAUGGACCAAAGCAGUAGAUAGUGCUUUUGGCUCAUACACACCUUGUGCAAUUGACUCUCUAGUGAUCUCCAUUUCUCACUUGGUUCUCCUUGGCCUGUGCUCUUAUCGGAUAUGGCUGAUAAAGAACAAUUCCAAAGCCAUUUGGUAUCGUUUGAGGUCAAAUUAUUACAAUUACAUGUUGGGAUUGUUGGCUGGUUAUUGCACUGCUGGACCUUUAUUAAGGUUGAUGAUGGGGUUUUCAAUCUUUAACCUGGAUGGACAGACUGGUUUUGCUCCUUUUGAGGUGAGUUUUCAUAUUGUCUUAAUAAUGUUGCAUAUUAUCUUCCUCAUAACAUGGCAUUUUCAAAUCUUGGCAUGUUAUGCAAAAUUAAACGUAUUUGAAAUUUGAUAUCUUUUAGCUUCAAUUCAUUGUGAAAUGUUUAACCUGUACAAUGUUAAUUUGAUAAUUUUUAUCUCUAAUUCCGGCUGGAGGCAAUUGUAAUAUUAUGAUAGUAACAUGUUAAGUCGACUUGAAUUUGCAAAAUGAUUUUUUUUUUUUUUUUUUUUNNNNNNNNNNNNNNNNNNNNNNNNNNNNNNNNNNNNNNNNNNNNNNNNNNNNNNNNNNNNNNNNNNNNNNNNNNNNNNNNNNNNNNNNNNNNNNNNNNNNNNNNNNNNNNNNNNNNNNNNNNNNNNNNNNNNNNNNNNNNNNNNNNNNNNNNNNNNNNNNNNNNNNNNNNNNNNNNNNNNNNNNNNNNNNNNNNNNNNNNNNNNNNNNNNNNNNNNNNNNNNNNNNNNNNNNNNNNNNNNNNNNNNNNNNNNNNNNNNNNNNNNNNNNNNNNNNNNNNNNNNGGGGGGGGGGGGUGGGGGAGGUUUCUCAAGUGUCUUGAGAAAGUUGCAUGUACGUGACCCUCUUGACAAUUUGAUUUUGAGGAAUUAUUUGAAAUCAGCUGUGAAUAAUCUGUUAUAUAUGGAAAAUCCAAGAUUGAUUUUAGAGUAAGAGAAGUAAUGCUUAAUGGAUGGUUAUUGUGUUAAAGUUGUCCAGAAUAAAUCAAAAAAUGUAAGAGUCAGGAUUUGUACUAACAAAGCAGGGAUAAUCUGGGAUUUCUCAUUGUAAAUCAAAGAUCUGGAACAAUAUUCAUGCAUAUAUACCCUUGAAAUAUUUACUUAAAGGGACAAGAAUUAAAAAAAAAAAACAUUAGUAACAAUUAUAGUUGAAUAUCAUGUUUAGCCCCUGACCAUCAAUUUGGCUACUUCCUCUUGUUAAUUUCAGUGGUCAAUGUUAAUUCGCUAGAAACUUUAAAUAACAUAAAGUUAUUUUUUAAGAGCUAAUUAAAUAUAAACACACACACACAAACAUUAUGAUUUUAAUUUUGCACCUUUAUGGCUUUAUCACCUAUCAUUACUACAAAAAUAACAAUUUUCAGUUUGCACCCCAACAAGAAUGCUAGCGGGUUCCACUUAAGUAAUCAUUAUGACUAUUGCAUAUAGGAUACAUGUCUUAUUGGUGGCACUGUUUUCUGGAGUGGGAUAACUUUUAUUCAUGCUGGAUGCCAAUGCAUACUUACAAUUAUAUUUUAAUCAUGCAGAUCUACACUGUAUUUGUACUUAAGUACAGUUUGCUGCCAGGUUUGUUCCUUCUCUUUUACCGCCUCUAAUGUUUGUAGGUCUAUAACCUCUUCUUAUGUUAGUUUUCAUAUGUGCUGUUUACCCUGUCGUAAUUAUAAAUGGUCUGUGGAUGAAGGCUAAGAAUUGGCUGUCGAAGCUUUGUACAGAUCUUAGGCUCUGUGUCAAGCAGUUAAUAGUCACUUAUCAAUGCUUGGAAGGCUUCAGGGACAUGGGCCUGGGACUAAAGAAAUAUAAAGGAAGCAACUAUAUAUCUUAAUCUAAAUAUGAGCAUAAAAUGGAUGAUGAUAUUAUAGAUUUAUAAUGGAAAGUGUAAGCAUGAAUUCGUAACAAGUGCAUCAAAGUUGUAUCAUUCCUUGCUAUGCUCCACUUUUUAAAAUGAAUUUGUGAGAAAAAUAUUAGUGUGGCCAUUUAGGUAGUCUUUCUGGUUCCUGAAGGAAGGCAUUGGACACGUGGAUUUUGGCAUCUUUUUACAUCUAUAGGAUAGUGCUAAUAAGAUUUGAAGUUCUAGUCUGGGUCCUUAAGGCAAGCUGGCCUGCAUUUCUGAACCUUGUCUUUAAAAUUCUGAUUAACUGUAUCCCGAAAGGCAUAAGAUAUUAGGAAAUUGGCCCUUGCAUAUCUGAACCCACUCUUAAGCCUUCUUUAUCAGAAAUUAUUUGUCUCACAAGCUAAGAUCAACAAUGUUUAUCAGGCUCACAUAUACACCAUCCCCCUCUCCAUCAGGGCUGCCCAAUAACAAAACAAACAGUGAGCCUUGCAUGUGUUAAUUAAUAGAAGAACUUAAUGGGACGGGGGUCACAAAGACUUGAACCAAGGGCCUCAAUGACAAUCUAGAUUUGGUUUAAUGUUAGAAACCAGCUAUCUCAAAAGUUGAAGCAAUAACAAAGUGGGAGCUCACAUACACACCAAUACUAACAAUUCUGACAGGCCUGUAGACCUGGACUAGUUCCAACUUUAUACUUAGUAGGCCAUCACAACAACUUCUUGAGAACUAAUGCAAACUGGGCCAACAUUUGGAUUAAGAGAUCCUAUCUUUGUCAUUGACAGUUACUUUACAUUUUACCAUGGUACAAAACAAUUACCUUCAGUAGAUAUUUUGAAUCUUGGCUUUUCUUUAUAAUUCCAAAGCAUGUCAAUACAUUUCUUACUUGUAUCUAUUGUUCUGAUACAGGUGCUGUUUGGAAUUCUUGUUGUUGUUUAUGUUCCUAAUCUGGAUCCUUAUCCGGGUUACAACAUGAUGCAUGCUGAGCCUCUUGACAACUGCGAAUAUGAAGCUAUUCCUGGAGAAGAGCAAAUUUGUCCUGAGAGGCAUGUCAAUAUAUUUUCCAGUGAGUACUUCCUAAAACUAAACGGUCCUUAAUGCCAGGAGUUAUAGGAUAUCCUACUAGUUCUUCACUUCUCGAGUUAUUAGCUUUUUGUUGAGGAGGGAGCAAUUAAAGCAAUACACAUAAUAGACUAAAAAGUGGUAUGCACUUGGUAGUUGUGUCGGUGCAGGACUUUAAUCUCUAGGUGUUCUAUUUGAUGCAUCAGAACAGAGGAAAAAGGAGCGAACCCAUUUAUGAUCCUAGUUGUUGUGUCUUUACACCUAUCUAGUCGCUUCUCGUGUUUUCUUGGUAAAUGAAAAUAAUGUUGUGAAACAGGCAAUAUAAGCAUUUUCCAGGUUCUUCUAAAUUUAUUGGUUCUUAUUUUUGGGAGAGAGGGGGGGAGGGGGGGGGGGGGGGGGGGGGGGGGUAGGAGGGGAUAGAGAUGUCUUAGGAUGGAAGAAAGGGUUUUCUUCAUACUUUCAUCACUUUUACCAUGAUGGAAGAUCGGACCUCCAAUUACCUUGACUUGCUUACCUUUGGUUAAUUUUCUUUAGGAAUAUAUUUUGGAUGGAUCACUCCACUCAUGCAGCAGGGUUACAGAAAACCUAUCACUGAAAAAGAUAUCUGGAAGUUGGACACAUGGGAUCGGACCGAGACACUUAGUAGAAAGUUAGCAUCAUGUUGCCAUUAUUUCAUGUGCCUCUUAACAAAUUCAUAACCAUUGUGAAACAUGUUUGACAGUGUUGAAUUUGCAGGUUCCAGAGAUGUUGGAUUGAAGAAUCUCAAAAGUCAAAACCGUGGCUUUUAAGAGCAUUGAAUAAUAGCCUUGGUGGAAGGUAUGACACACACACACACACACAUAUAUAUAUAUAUAUAUAUUUUUUUUUUUUCUUUCUAGAUUUUGAUGACACUCUAAGCUUUCUGAUAUGUGAUUGGAUUUUAAAUGUUUUAUGUAGGUUUUGGCGGGGUGGCUUCUUCAAGGUAAUGAUCUCAUUCCCUUUGUCCCCCUCUCCCCCUUUCCUUUUCCAUUUUGUCAAGGAUUGUUCAGGAUGGCAUUGUUGCUCACCAAUUCAUUCAUUAUCUGCAUACAAUAUCUCUUGAAAUUGUCUACUGCUUUGUUGCAAAAAAUCAUCUUUUAUCUUUCAACAUUUGAAGGUCACAACUAAUUUGAAUAAUGCCUUAAUCUGUUAAAUAAUUAUGUGUGAUAUAUAAUUCAUAAACUGAAAUAAUUGAAUGGAUAUUGGUGUGCAUUGACAGAUGUAAAAUAGAUAUCACUAAACGAGGACUUCUCUAUAGAUGCUUAUGCAUAGGCAUCUGUUCUAAAGUUUACUCAUGAACGGAUAUUGGAUCUUAAAUUUAGUAUAUCUAAUAGAAUUUCACUAAAUAAAAUAAUUUCAAUAAAUUCUCAUGCAUUGAUCUUGAUACAUGGAGAUCUGGCACGAAUGCAACAAGAAGUUAAUGUGAACAGUAUUAAAAGUGAAACAUAAUUCUGUAUUUGACGACAUUUUGGGAGCUAAUUAAUUUUUCAUUGAACAUUUUGUAGAUUGGCAAUGAUCUUUCUCAAUUUGUAGGGCCAGUUCUAUUGAACCAACUCUUACAGGUCUGUUACUUUCUUGCAACUUAAUUGAUAAAUGAUGUUAUUUCAAAUUAUUUACCACCUAAAAAGGGUGUUUGUCUUCUAUGUAAAUUUAAUUAAUUCUCAUAUAAAAAGGCUGUGUUUGUUGAAAUCUGAAGCACUGAACACUGAUCCAUGUUUACUAGAUCAAAUUUAAGACCUCAUAGGUCUUAUGAUUGGACAAGCUUACAACCUCAGUUUAUGAGCCUUAGUUUCAUAAUGAAUAUGGAAAUUUUUAUGAUCUAGUAAAUAAUAUAGAAGUUGGAUGCAAGAAUGGUCAUCGUUUCUGUUAAAUUAUCAUUCCCAAAAGCUUAAACUAUUGGGAUAUGGUAAAUUUAAUCAUUUUAAUAGGUGAGGCCCAACAUGUAGAAUUUUAAAUGGGAGGUGAGUGGAGGAGACAAGGAUCAAACUUAGGACUUCUUGUUUUGAUACCAUGUUGAAUAUUAACUUUAAUACCAUGUUAAAAUAUCAAUUGUCCCAAAAGCUUAAACUAUUGGAAUAUGGUAAAUAUAAUCAUUUAAUCACAUAGUUCUAACAAUUUCUAAAGGGGAAUAAAAAUUAGGAGCUUCAUUUCCCAAGAAAUUUAAGUCAAGUGUGUAAUUUUGAAAUGGUUGUUAGAAAGAUGGUCUAUAAAUAAUGCGGAUGUCAAGAGCCUUGUAGCUCAAUUGGCACCUCCUGGGUUCAAAUCCCCCUUCCCCCAACUAUUGAAUUAUGAAAAAUAAAAUAAAACAAUGCAGACCAUGCAAAGGAAGGAAAUGAAAAGUUUUGGUUUCAGAAACAUAAAAAAAAUGUCUAUUAGCCCAUAACACUUGCACCCUGCAAAAUCCUUAUAUCCAAAGAAUUAUCAAGUUGAAGUAUAGACCAUUUUUGGUUGCUAAGAUCGAUUCAUUCUUGACAUUAUUUUCUGUGAUGAUGAGAAAGAUUGGACAUGAAUAAAACUACCUUAGUUUGAGAUUAUUCUGCAUUCUCAGUUCUGUUACGGUUCAGCUAAAAGAUGAACCUUGCUCUGAGGUUUUGGACCAUAAAAGUUCAUAACUUUCUUGUUACUGCCUGCAGUCCAUGCAACGAGGGGAUCCAGCUUGGAUUGGUUACAUCUAUGCCUUCUCAAUUUUCGCUGGGGUGGUAUGAAUUCUACUCAUGCUAUCAAUAUUGAUAUUUGAAAAGUUGCUCUUGUGACUAGGUUUUUUGUGGAAAAUUAUAGCUGAUCAGCAACAUUAGUCAGAAGGGGAGACAUAUAUUUAAGUGAAAGGCACUCAUGACAAUGAUUUUAAAUGCAUUACAUGAAGGGUAGUGGAUGAGGUCUAGCUCAAAUGGCACCUCCAGUUGUAAGAGUAAGGUGAAGGGUGAGGUUGUGGGUUCAUAACCCACUGGGAGAGUGUGUAACUUGCAGGUUAAAGAUAUGUUUAUGUGAAGAAGUGUACCUUGAAUACGUAAUGGACAUUGUUGGAUUACAUUUUGGGAUUGUUUCUUUAAGUUGCAUUUAUGAUUCAUCUUCAACAUAUUACGAGGAUUUCUGGAGGUAGGGGUGUUGCGGGGAUUUUCUGUGAAAUCUUUCCAUGUGGAAAAUUUUCUUGUAAAUCAAUAGCAUGGUUGUACUUCAUUGACAAUGUAUAAUAAUUAAGCAUGGUUCUUUUUUUUUUAUAUGGUAGAUUUACUUCAAUAAUUAUAGUGAAGCAUGUUGCUUUCUGGUUGGUUAAAAAUUUUAUUACUCAUUGAAUGAAGUGUCUAUUAUUCAUUGAUUUUUAUACUUGCAGUCAUCAAAUUAUGGCUUGGUGAGAAGACAACUGCAUUUAAUUUUCUUUUUUUUUGUCAAAUGGAAGUAGAAAGAACUUUUGCUUACCUCUGAGAAAAUAUACUAGUAGUUGACUUAGGAGCAUUGUUUUGUGAUUGGUCUAUAUUUAGAUUAAAAGAAGAUUGACUAAUUGUUUAUUUAUUUCAGUCACUUGGCGUGCUAUGUGAAUCUCAGUAUUUUCAGAAUGUAAUGCGUGUUGGUUUUCGGCUGAGGUCAACUUUGGUAAAGUUUUUUCUGUGUUAGAAAUCUUAUUGUAUAUGGUGCUUUUGUUUCUGUACACUUUCAGCCUUAAUUGCCUCUUUGGUUGGGUCUAGCCAUGCAACUCAAGUUUCAGUUCAAGAAGUGACUAUUUCUAAUUAUAGGUGGCUGCAAUCUUUCGCAAGUCUUUAAGACUAACACAUGAGGGUCGCAAGAAUUUUUCCUCUGGAAAGAUAACCAAUAUGGUGACGACUGAUGCUAAUGCACUUCAGGUAUCCUCUAACUCAGUGAAUAUGCAUGCUGGAAAAAAUUUGACCAUAUUAUAAUUAUUUUGGGGAAGGGGCAUGACUGAAUUAAUAUGUUCCUUAUAUUGUUCAGCAAAUAUGUCAACAACUUCAUGGAUUAUGGUCAGCUCCAUUUCGUAUUGUCAUAGCUAUGGUACUUCUUUACCAGCAACUAGGUGUAGCUUCACUUCUGGGAUCAUUAUUGCUAGUUCUCAUGGUCCCCACACAGGUCAGAAGACCUUAUUUUCUAUCCUAUUUUGAUAAAAUGGGUUGAUUGCUUGGAUCUUUACUAUUUUUCCAAUUUUGUGAUGAUCUUUUUUUUUUGCUUGUUUGUUUUCCUAGUAGUAAUUUUGUGCAAAUAUUCUUUAUUUAUAAUUUCAAAUUCCAUAAUCUGACCCUAGCUCAAAUUUACUGAACUAUUUGGUGCCACUGAUACAUCCCUAAUCCUAAAGCUAUUAAUGUGAUGUUUUUAUCAGAAAACCCAACGAACUCAACACUAGUGACAAAAGAAAGUUAAUGUGUUGGUAGAAAAAUUGAGAGAACAAUGAAAAGAGGUUCAUAGAUUGGCACUAAAUAGACACUCAAAAAGGAACCAGUCCUCAGCCUCCGAGAAAAGAAAAUGAACCAGACUUAAUCUUCAACAAAAGCCCUUUGAGAUCCUUAGGCAGACUGAAGAACAGCUCUGAAAUUUUAAGUCCAGUUUUUAGCUACUCAGAAAUAACACAGAAUUAGAACAGUUUUAUAUGAUUUUUACCAACAACAACAAAUAAGAUGUCUUAGGACAUUGACUGUCUCUUGGACUCUUUUAUUUCUUUGACAGUAGACAUUAAUUUUAUCUAAUUAUUCUCUGACUAACUCUUGAUCUGUCAAGGACUGGUUUCAUAAUGGCACCUACACCUUUAGUGCUUGCUGCAUUAAUCAUAUAAUACAAUUUAAUUUUCUAUCUGUAAUGUCACAUCUAGUUUUCUAGCGUACUGCAAAAACAUUCUGGGUUUGAAAACAACGAUGAUUUAGUACUUUUAAACCUUAUAUUUGUAGAUUAUAUUUCUCGCUUAGAUUUGUGAUACUAAUUGAUUUUUCUAUUUAUAUGUUCUUUAUAAAAAUUUAGAAAUUCUUAUAACUUCACAAUGAAUUACUCUAAAUUUGUACUAAGCUUGAUACACAUUAUUGGCCCACUGCCUAACAUGGUAAUUUCUUCUGCCAUGCAACAUGUGCGGCCUGUAUUUGGAUUGAUAGUUACUCAGGGGCCCUACUUUGAGAGGGGUUUUAGUUUAUGCUAAGUUUGAUUGGUUACAAACUGUUUUCAUAUUAACUGCUUAUAAAGUCUUACAUUAUUGUUUUAAAAUUUUAAAUUAUUGAUUCUUCCAAAAGUUUAAGCUAUUGGGAUAUGGUAAAUCUAAUCAUUUAACCACACAAUUCUAACACCUCCCUCUUACGUGUGGGCUGAAACUAUCUUUUUAAUAGGUGAGACCCAACAUGUGGGAUUUUAAAAGGAAGGUAGAGUGGAGGAGAUUGAGAUUAAAAUUAGAACCUCUUACUCUGAUACCAUGUUAAAUUACCGAUUCUGCCUAAAAACUUAAGCUUUUGAAAAAAUUAGUAAUUUAACAAUUUUGCAAAAAUUAUUAUGAUUUAUAUAGACAAUGGAACUUGAGUUUGUUAAUUUCUACCUGAACUGUAAUUAGUAUGAGUUUUCCUUAUUCCAUACAAUGUCUCUGAUGAAAGCUCAUGUUUCGUGAUUAACUUGUGAGAACAGACUGUUGUGCUUAGCAAAAUGCGGAAACUGACCAAGGAAGCACUGCAGUGGACUGACAAGAGAGUUGGCCUCAUGAAUGAAAUUUUGGCUGCCAUGGACACUGUGAAGUAUGUUUAAUUUAAGAAAAUUUUAUGUUGUUCCGUUCAUGACACUGUUUGUUUUGAUAAUAUGCUGAAAUGUGUUUCAGAUGUUAUGCUUGGGAGACAAGCUUCCUAUCUAAAGUUCAAAGCAUAAGGAAUGAUGAGCUGUCAUGGUUCCGCAAAGCACAAUUACUAUCAGCUGUAUGGCUCAAAACAUAAUCUUGGAAAAUUUCUUCUUGUUCCUAUCUAGUUCAAGCAUGUCGAAAGCAUGAUGAUGUUACUAUUUGCUUUUUUAAAUUCCUCAUCAUCACUGUUGACAUGUAGUGUAUUUAGCACUACUGCUUGAGUUACACAGAAACCAAAUUUGGCUGACUGCAUACUGCAAGUAUGAUUGCUGUAGAGAAAAUUGAUUAUUUUGUCUGGCUACUGACUAUGCUUUCCACAGUAGCAUGAUGAUCAGCAAAAAUAUUGCACCCCUCAGCCAAUGUCAGAGUGAGAUUAGAGUGCAGUGAAAUUGGUUGUUAUGGUUAAAUGCUUACAAAUUGUUGUUUUUCAAGGCUUUUGUACUUAGGGCUACCUGAUAGAUUGCAUAUGCAGAUAUAUAAAGUACUGGGAAGAUAUAUUAUUUUGGAGCACCGGAACUUUAUUGUUGUUGAGAAAAAAUUAUGAUGCAUAUGUUAACAUGAUUUGUUUCUCUCAAAUGUAACAUUUACAUAGUGAUCCUGAUUGGUACAAUAAAUGCUACCCAUAGUUGACUUAUAAUGACUAAAUUCAUGAUCUAUGAUCAAUUUAAAACCAACGAUGAGGCAAUUUGAGACCAACAACAGCAUAUGCAUCAAUUCCUUUAUAUGUUGAAUUGUAAAUAUUAAAUUAUCGAUUGUCUCAAAAGCUUAAACUAUUAAGAAAUUGUGUAUUUAAUCAUAGUUCUAACAGUCCUCUUCACGUGCGGGGUCUAAACUCCCCCUUAAAAACUGGGGCCCAACACUUGGGAUUUUUAACAUUUUAAAUGGGAGGUACAGUAAAAACAAGGAUCGAACUUAGAAUCUUUUGCUUUGAUACCGUGUUAAAUUACUAAUUUUCCCAAUAGCUUAAGUUAUUAGGAAAUUGUGAAUUUAAUCAUUUAAACAUAGUUCUAACAGUAAAUUGCACUGGAUACAACAUGACAUCUCAUAUUCUGUAUAAAUGAGCUUGCAUUUUGUGUUCUGUAUGUCUUCAUUCUUAGCUUUUAUGUUCUUCUGACCAGCUAAAUGCCCUUUUUGCAGUUUAAUAGCUUUAUACUGAACAGCAUCCCAGUUGUCGUAACAGUGACCUCUUUUGGUUUGUUCACUUUGCUUGGUGGGAAUUUGACCCCAGCACGGGCAUUUACAUCACUUUCUUUGUUUUCAGUGCUGCGAUUUCCUCUGAACAUGCUUCCCAACUUAUUAAGUCAGGUCUGUCUAUUGCAUCUAUACCUUUUGUAAGUAACAUGCAUCCUAUGAGACAACUAAUAUAGCAUAUUGUGUAAAAUUCUAUGUUUCAAUUAUAUAGUCUGCCUUUUGGGAUUAAAUCCCAUUGAUAUAGUUCUGCAAAUUCAUUGGUUAUGCUAGCCUUUACUGUUUCAUUGUGCAUUUUGACCUUUGCCUUGAUACAAAGUUAUAAGCAAAAAUUGUAUUUUUACAAUAGACCAGCAGUUAUUCUUUGAAUUACUCAUGCUAUUCUAGUUUGACAGGUUGUAAAUGCUAAAGUGUCAUUACAACGCUUGGAGGAAUUAUUAUUAGCUGAGGAGAGAGUUCUGCAACCAAAUCCACCUCUUGAACCUGGGCUUCCAGCUAUUUCUAUCAAGGAUGGGUACUUUUCAUGGGAUUCAAAGGUCAACUUUUAGUAGUAUUUAUUUUUUAAGUGAAACGCCUUGUACUUCUAGUAAUCAUGUCAGAUUUUCUUUUUAUGGUUUAUAUAAAAAUAUGUUCAUUCCUUUGGACCACAUUUCUACUAGGGUUUCAGUACUCGAUAUGGAAAAUCAUGUCAAACGAGAGGUAAACAUGAUGCAUGGCUAGAAAAGGAAGUGAAUCAUAAGAUAAUAGUAGGGUGGAUGAAAUUGAGAAGUGCAUCAAGAGUAUUAUGUGAUUAUAGAAUACCUAUAGUUAAGGGGAAAUUUUUUUAAGAAUGCUAUGAAAUUUGCUAUGCUCUAUGGUAUUAAAUGUUGGGCUGUUAAGAAGCAACAUGUUCAUAAAAUUAAUGUAGCUGAAAUGAUAAUGUUAAGCUGGAUAAGUAAAACACAAGGAAAGAUAGGCUUUGAAAUGAGGAAAUUCAAUUAAAGAUAGGAAUGGCACAUAUUGAUGAAAAGAUGAGGAAGAGUCACUUGAAAUGGUGUGUGGUCUUGUGUAGAUGAGAGCAUUAAUGCACCAGUGAAAAGUAGUGAGUUCAUUUAAGGUGAGGGAACGAACGAAGGUAGAAGAAGACCUAAAAUAAAAUUAGUACAAAUAAUAAUAAAUGACAUGUCAAUUAGAGAGGUAAUAGAAAGUAUAAGUUUGGAUAGAAUAGGAUGGUAGAAAAGAAUACAUUUGGCUGACCAUAGAUAAGGGGGAGCUAGUAGAAAUUGUUCGUGGCCCAUAGAGAGGUAAUGACUCACAUGUGAGGGGGAGAUGGUUGGCCAUACACGUGUGAGUGAAGUCUCAUAUUAAAUAAUAAUGAGGAGCGAGUGGUUAAUAUAACAUAAUUUGGCCCAAGCUCAUAGGCUUUUGCUUUGUGUGUUAAGUGUUGUCCGUAUAGAUUAUACUGACUACUCAAUUUGAGUCUCCGUAAGGUGUGAUCUCCACACCAAGACCAAAUUACCCCUUGCCAAUUGCCAUUACUUCUUCUCAUUUUUGUGAUAAUGUUAGACUUUGUUGACUCUCAAAUGUGCUUCUUUCCUAUUUGUAUUAACAUUCUUAACAUUCCUAUCCUAUAGGCAGAUAAUGCCACAUUAUCAAAUAUCAAUUUGGACAUACCAGUUGGCAGUUUAGUUGCAGUUGUUGGUGCCACCGGAGAAGGAAAGACAUCACUAAUAUCGGCAAUGCUAGGGGAGCUGCCACCUUUGGGAGAUUCAAGUGUUAUUAUCAGAGGAACUGUCGCCUAUGUACCUCAAGUUUCAUGGAUUUUCAAUGCCACAGUGAGUUGCAGCUUGCUUAUAUUCUUAUUGAUAGUACAUGUCCUAUCUACUUACUGCUUUGAAAUUCUCCUUGUGUUUUACUCGCAGUUAUCUCUUACUACCAUGCACCCUCUUGACUUUCAAAUUCAUUCUUUCAGGUACGUGAAAAUAUAUUAUUUGGCUCAAAAUUUGAACCCACACGAUACUGGAAAGCUAUUGAUGUAACUGCAAUGCAGCAUGAUCUCGACUUACUUCCAGUUAAGUGAAUUUAAAAAGUCAUAUCUUUACAUUUACUUCUUAUUAAUAAACCCAAAAAGUGUAAAAAAAGAAAGUCCUAUUAAUGAAAUUAUAUCUUUCUGUUAUAUUUUCUCUUAGGGCCAUGAUCUCACAGAGAUUGGUGAAAGGGGGGUGAAUAUUAGUGGUGGGCAAAAGCAGAGAGUUUCCAUGGCUAGGGCUGUAUAUUCCGAUUCCGACGUAUAUAUAUUUGAUGACCCUUUAAGUGCUCUUGAUGCUCAUGUUGCUCGACAGGUAGUAUAUUUUGUUAAGUGGUAUAAGAUCACCUUAAAUUUACUUGUAUUCCUACUUAGUAUAUUGCCAUAAUUAUAAUUCCUUGCGAUAAAGAUACACCAUUAAUUUUGAAAGUAAUAAAGUUCUGAAAUACUUGAAGUCAAUCCAAUUUCCCUGUUUCUUAAGUGCAAAAAAAAAAAUCUGAUGCAACACCAAAUUCUCCAAGGGAUUUGCGAGAAACAAUAUACUCCAUUUGUUUCGAUAGAAAACCUUGUGUAAAAUAGUUUUUCAUGAUUUUCAGUGUUCAUAGCAUCAGAAAAAAAAUGAAUCAGUGAAAAACUAUUUUUGGUCAACAAAAAAAUUAUGACUUAUUUUUAGAGAUUGUUUUCUACUAAUUUUUUUUUAAAGCUACUCUAUCUCACAGCAAAAUAAAUAAGAAAAGUUAGGAAAUUGUUUUUCAACUCAUUUAAGGUUGCUACCAAACAUAAGAAAAUGAGAUUGUUUUAUAGAAAAUAUUUUUUGAAAAAUAACUCAUUUUCUAGAAAACAUUAUCGAUGAAACAAACAGAGAAAAGAAAAAAAAAAAGAAAAAGAAGAAAACCUAGGAAUCAACAUUUAAGAGUUAUUUAGAGUAAAAAGAAAGAUGAGAAGAAGGAUAAAGCCUAGGAGUCAACACCCAAAUCAGUAUACAUUUGAAAGGCUAAGCAGAGAACUGAAGAGCUUCUCAAUCUGCUUCUCUACUUUUUUGUUUCUUAUGCAGUCUUAUUUUUUUUUUUUCUUAUUCUUUUAAAUUUUGAAAAUUAAUAUCUUUUCCACCAAAAUCUUUAAAAGUGAUAUGCUCUUGAAGCCAUAUUGUAUUAUUUCAAGCCAUAGUUGUUUCCAGGUUUUUAAUAGCUGCUUAAAGGAAGAGUUGCGAGGGAAAACCCGGGUUCUUGUCACAAACCAGCUACAUUUUCUGCCUCAAGUGGAUAGGAUUAUCCUGGUCUCUGAAGGCAUGAUCAAAGAGGAUGGAACCUUUGAGGAGCUAUCAAAAAAUGGUGUUUUAUUCCAGAAACUAAUGGAAAAUGCUGGUAAAAUGGAAGAACAAGAGGAUGAAAAGGAAGACAACAAAACCUAUGAUCAGAAAAGCACUAAACCAACUGUCAAUGGGCUAGAAAAGGAUUUUCCAAAAGAUGCAAGCAUUAAAAAGAAAGGGAAAGGAGGGAAAUCUGUGCUUAUCAAGCAAGAAGAACGAGAAACAGGUGUUGUUAGCUGGAACGUUUUGAUGAGGUAGUAUAGUUUUAAUACUUUGAUAAUUUCCAAAAUUAUGGAAGAUCAUCAAUUUUUUUGUCGGGUCUUUCUGCUACAACAACAAACAAAACUUAGCACAAAACUAAUAUAUAAAUCCCUUUUUCUGCACCUUACAUUUUCUAAAUUAUGAACUCUAGAGCACCCUAAUAUAAUCCAGAUAUGGCAGUGAAGCCAUUUCUAGUCUAAUUUGGACCUUGGAUGUGACUCAAUGUUUUAAAUAUUACAUUUCGUUCAAUGUAGAACUUACACUUAUGGAAAAAGCUAUGUCAGUAUUGAACACAAGGUGGAUACUACAUGACUGUAAACAAAAACAUUUCAUGUUUCUUGGAGUAAACCCAAAUCUGUAAUGCUGAUCCUGAAUUUUCUUAGAAAUAAUAAUCCAAGUAAUUGAUAAAACAAUUCUAUGCUCUGGUUAAUUUUUGUUAUAAUGUUACAUACAACCUUUGGUAUUUACCCGUAUAUAUCAGUCCUAGAACAUUAUUCAGAAACCAUGUCUCUUUAAUCCAAUUGGAAAUAUUUUUCAGAAUAGUAAUAUCAGUGUAGACACAAAAAAAGCUCCACCAUGUUCAAUACAUGCUAGACAUACACCAGAAAAUUUUAAAAUUAUUACAUAGUUUAGUGACGGAUACCUGGAUUACAAGUGGGGCAUAUGGGUCCAGUAAUGAAGGCGGCAAAGAAUUAUGUGUGCACAUACGUGCGUAUGUAUAUAUUUAUGUAUACAUAUUGAUACAUAGAUGUAUGUACAUAUGUAUACAUAAAAGAGUCAUAAAAAAGAAAAGAAACAAAAUGAAUAGGAUGGCGAGAAGUAGGAGAGGAGAAAUUUUUAUCUGCCUUUUGCAGAAUAAAAAUACGUGUUACUUCUAUUAUGCAAUGUGUAGCAGAUGUAUGGUCGAUACGUGUUACUUUUUUUAAGUCCGUCGCAGAAAAUGGUAUCUCACAUUGAACUCAUUUCCUAGGACGUAUGGUCGAUUCUUGUAUGAAAACAAAUAUAUUUAAACAAGUUAAUGAGGUAGCCAACUUAAAAAAAAAAUUAGUGCCUUUUCUUUUUCUGGAUCAGCAGUAGCUAGAAAGCAUGAACUAGAAAUUUUCAGUUAUGCAGCUCCAAAUAGAGAAGAAUGUCGGAAAACAAUUCAUGUGGCCAAACCCAAGUUGCUAUGGUAUAAGUUAUUGAGUUGGGUUGUGAUAGGAUGCAUAAUAUGAACCAUUCUGCCAUUAUUAGACCAAUCUCUUUUCUGGGUUACCUAAAAGGGCCAUGGAUGUACUUUUCCUGAUUACAGCCACUAACCAAUCAUCACGAGUCUCUUUUCCCAGAGUGACUGUUUAUAUAAACUAAUCUGUCACUUUAUGACUUUUUUUCCUCUUUUGGCUGUCAUUUUAUGUGAUAUGUUUGCCUUGGUCCUAUCUUCAGGUACAAAACUGCACUAGGAGGCAUUUGCGUUGUUAUGAUACUCUUUCUGUGCUAUCUAUUAACGGAAGUUCUUCGAAUUUUAAGUAGCACAUGGUUAAGUUUUUGGACAGAUCAAAGUACUUCUGAGAGUUACAGGCCUGGCUACUACAUUCUUAUUUAUGCCCUUCUUUCAUUUGGCCAGGUGUGUCUGCAGUUUCUAAAUAAUUGGAAAAUGUUUUUUUUUUUUUUUUUUUUGGGCAAGUAAAUUAUCCUUUUGCCCAUCUUGAUCCUACUGUCAGUUUUUCAACUACUCCAAGUAUCUGAAGUUCUUUCAAUGAAAAUAUACUAGUCUUGAUAGGUAAAAGAAAUACCAGUAUGAAAUAUGACUAAACCCAAUACAGUGGCAGAAAACAUAUUAGCUGUUUAGGAGGAAGAAAGAACUACAUUAUCUUUUCCCUUUUCUCUUUGUUCUAUAUUUUAGAAUAUCUUAAAAAGUAUAAUAUGAACCAGAAGAAAAAUAUUAAUACAUCUGUGAUUGGUAUAUAUUAUAAAGGCUUAUUCAUCCUUUACUGAUUCAGGUUGCUGUGACACUUGCAAACUCCUAUUGGCUGAUCAUUUCAAGUCUUCGUGGUGCCAAAAGAUUGCAUGAUGCCAUGCUACAUUCGAUUCUAAGAGCUCCAAUGAUAUUCUUCAACACUAAUCCAACUGGAAGGAUAAUCAAUAGGUUUGCAAAGGAUCUAGGUGAUAUAGAUCGCAAUGUAGCCAAUUUUAUAAAUAUGUUUCUGGGCCAAGUGUGGCAGCUUAUUUCAACUUUUGUUCUGAUUGGCACUGUAAGCACAAUAUCGCUAUGGUCCAUAAUGCCGCUUCUGAUCUUGUUUUAUGCAGCCUAUCUAUAUUAUCAGGUAGGUUCAGUAUACCAUUUUGAUUUUGUCUUUUGCUCUUUCACAUGUUUGACAUUGUUUGGACGUGAGAUUCUGAUUUUCUGAGAAUUAAUGCUGAGAGAUUCUAUCACUAGGCAUCAGCCACUUAGGGUAUUGUCAUGGAAAUAUUCAUUUUCUCAUUUUAGUGCAUGUUAAGGGUUUCCUAAAUUAAAUUAUCCAUACAACGAGGACUAUGUAAACCCAAUCUACCCUGUUGGAAGCAUGUACCAGAAGAAGGAAAGAAACCAUCUAUUUACAUUACCACCUAGGUUGAGUAAAUUUGUUUCCCUUUAUCCUGUGAAAUUGUUUCUGACAAAUAAAUUGGAGGAAAAAAAUGUGAUAGCACCUAGCCUUGGAAGAAGAGCUUUAUUGGCAUGAAAGUGCAAGCCUGGGUACAAAACUUGUCUUCAUACUAGUACAUUAAUAUUUAACUGUUAGCAAGCAAUAUAUAUAUAUAUAUAUAUUCUAUGUUUCUAAUAAUUUCACCUCACCACAACUCACCUCACCUCACCUCACCUCACCAUAUUCCUAUUCCACUUCAUUUAUUUUUAUCGUAUAUGUUUUAUUACAGAGCACAUCCCGUGAAGUGAAACGCUUGGAUUCCAUUACCAGAUCUCCUGUUUAUGCACAAUUUGGAGAAGCAUUAAAUGGUUUGUCGUCCAUUCGUGCAUAUAAGGCAUAUGAUCGGAUGGCCAACAUUAAUGGGAAGUCUAUGGACAAUAAUAUCAGAUUCACUCUCGUGAAUAUUAGUUCAAAUCGUUGGCUCACCAUAAGGUUGGAAACAUUAGGAGGCGUCAUGAUUUGGUUGACAGCAACUUUUGCUGUCUUGCAGAAUGCAAGAGAGGAAAACCGGGUAGCUUUUGCAUCUAAAAUGGGUCUACUUCUCAGUUAUUCUUUAAAUAUAACAAGUCUAUUAAGUGGCGUUCUGAGGCAAGCAAGUAGGGCUGAAAAUUGUUUAAAUUCUGUUGAGCGUGUUGGCACAUAUGUAGAUUUGCCUUCUGAGGCUCCAGCUAUCAUUGAAAGCAACCGUCCCCCACCUGGCUGGCCUUUAUCUGGAACAAUUGUGUUUGAGGAUGUUGUCAUGCGUUACAGGCCUGAACUUCCUCCUGUCUUGCAUGGAUUGUCCUUUACAGUUCCUCCAAGUGAGAAGCUAGGGAUAGUUGGAAGAACUGGUGCAGGGAAGUCUAGCAUGCUUAAUGCAUUAUUUCGGAUAGUAGAAAUGGAAAGAGGACGAAUAUUGAUUGAUGAUUGUGAUAUUGGUAAGUUAGGACUAACAGAUUUGCGGAAAGUUCUUAGUAUCAUACCACAAUCUCCAGUUCUUUUCUCAGGUAUGCAUACUUAGGCAGCCUUAUAUUGCUUUUUAAAUGGUUUGAAAUGAUUAUAUUUCCUAUUUCUGUAAUUAUUAUUUUUAUUAUUUAUGACCAUACAAAUGUAUGUGGUAUAUGUUUCAGAAACAUUUAUGUGCUAACUGAAUGGUUAUCAUAUGGUGCAUAUUUGAUUGCUUUCCUCUUAAUGACAUAUGAAGUGAGUGAGUGUGUCUUUCCCAUGUGUUGGUGCAUUUGCAUUUGUAUGUCUAGAUGCAUAUAGUUCUAUGCAUAUGCUUCUUUCUCUUGUUCUUGGGUUGUUAUGUUUUGAUUUUUUGUACUUAGUAGUGCUCCAACUGUAUUCAGCAUAUGCAUGUUGCAAACAGCCAAACUGUUUACACAAGUUGGCUGAAUUAGGAAACAAACUUUUGUUUAUAUGAAAUUUAAUGCGUCUGAUUUUAAAAAAUAUGUGGUCAAAAAACUUCCAAAUUUGAAAUACAUCAUUAUAAUGGUUAUCUUAUUUUUUCUAGGAACUGUCCGUUUCAAUAUUGAUCCUUUCAGUGAGCACAAUGAUGCUGACCUUUGGGAGGCCUUAGAAAGGGCAAAUCUAAAGGAUGUCAUCAGGAAGAAUUGUUUCGGUCUGGAUGCUGAGGUAUCCAACUAUCCUUACUUAAUUUUAAUGAUCAAGGUUUCUAGGGUUUAGAACCUAAAAAUGGAUUUGUUCUGUACUAGGAUACAUCCUAAAUGUGGGUCAUUGAUUGCACUCCAAGUUAUUGUGCUUGUAAACUUCUUGUAAAUCCCUCGAUAUGUUACCUGUCAGUACCAACGGUUUGUAAUAUAGAACAAACAAUGGUAGGGCUAAAUUGUAUGACAUUAGAAUUUUUGGUUGCUGGAAUUUUCCCUGGCAGCAGUUAUUUGUGGGAAAUUAGGAUUGUGUAGGCAAGGGUUUGUAGUAGAAAAGGCUGGAAAAAUAGGUUGGAAUGAGGUUUAUUUAUGGAGUCAUAAGGUAGUUCAAAAAAAGACAAGGAAAGGAUGAAAGCAGAUCUGGUUCAUGGCUGUUAACAGUAGUUCAUAAAUUGUAACAGAUCUGGCUGUGGAUUUGGAGGCUAAUAAUAGGUGCAUUGUGCUACGUUUCUAUUCUAGGGAUUCUAGGGUACUUAGGGUGAGAAAUCAAGGUCAGACUGUGGUCUUUGUAGGCUGGAUGAAUUGCAGAAUUUUGAAGAAGAUAGAUUGGUGUCUUUUACACAUGCUUUAAGUUUGGGGAUAAAAACUAUAGGCAAAUGACCAGUGGAAAUCCUGAGUUUAAUAAGCUACCUCAUUACAGUAAAGAUUCCAAUCAUUCACUGACUUUGUCUUUUUUUACCUUUCUAUAUGAUAAGAAAAGAAUAAUAAAUUCAUAUCAGAAACCAUUUUUACACAUGCAUCAUAUAAAAAUAUUUGAAAGAAAUAAAAUCGAUAAAGAAAAGUGGUUCUUGAAUUGUCUAGUUAAAUUUUUGUUUAGUCGUCCUUGACUCCAAUUUCAUUUUGAAAAGAUAUAAAGAAAAUGCAUACGGUGAGAAAUUUAGUUGGAGGAAAGAGGUCUUUUUUAAGUUACCAUUUUGCUUCAACUAUAGUACGUUGAAAUAAAAGAAGUAUUACCAAUGCUAACCAGAAAGUACUUUCACUUGAGUUGUGUCAAGGUCUCAGAGGGAGGAGAAAAUUUCAGUGUUGGACAGAGGCAGCUGUUAAGUCUUGCUAGAGCAUUGUUGCGAAGAUCAAAAAUUCUUGUUCUUGAUGAAGCAACUGCAGCUGUUGAUGUUAGGACUGAUGCACUUAUCCAGAAAACUAUUCGUGAAGAAUUUAAAUCCUGCACAAUGCUCAUUAUUGCUCACAGGCUAAAUACAAUCAUUGACUCUGAUCGAAUUCUUGUACUUGAUGCUGGUCAGGUAUGCCCUCAUUAAGGCUAUUCUUGCAAAGUGUUCCUACUUGAUAGGAAUAUUUGGGUUUGUAGAAUAUUAACCCUGCAACUUGUAGGAUCCAUAAAACAAGAUUGAGCAGCCAAACACAACAAUCAGCUGGCAAAUUUCAUGCUGAUGUAAAUAUUGAUCUUUCAUUUGUUUUUGGUCUCAGUUAAGACUUUGUACCAUUGAUUUCAGGUUUUAGAAUAUGAUACUCCAGAGGAACUUCUAUCAAAUGAAGGAAGUGCAUUCUCUAGGAUGAUACAAAGUACAGGGCCUACAAAUGCUCAGUAUUUACGUAGCUUAGUAUUCGGAGGUAAAGAAAACCAGUCCAGUCAAGAAGAAACCAAGCAGCUAGAUGGCCAAAGUAGAAGGCUGCCUUUGUCUCGCUGGGCUGCUGCUGCCCAGUUUGCCCUAGCUGUUAGCCUCACUUCUUCCCAAGAUGACCUUCAGAGGUUACACAUUGAAGACAACAACAAUAUACUCAAGAAAACAAAGGAUGCAGUUAUAACACUGCAGGGAGUUUUGGAGGGGAAGCAUGACCAAGUUAUAGAUGAGACACUAAAUCAAUACCAGGUUUCCACAGAUAGAUGGUGGUCUUCUCUCUACAAAAUCAUUGAAGGUCAGUUUUAAUAUCUCAGCAUACACAAGUUCCAUCUGCGGGCUUUAAUGUGAAUAUAUGCUUACUCCCAUGGAAGCUUUUCAUGUUUCAGAAUUUGUAUAUGGUGCUUCUAGUAAUGGCUCAUUUGUUUUUUUUUUCUUCAUUACUUAACCAGAAAUUAUUAUAUUCUCAGCAUUUAUGUCUUGUUAUAUUUGCUUAUCUGCAAGUUCAAUCAAUGCUUAACCAUAUGAACUCAAACUCAAUUGUUAAUGUAACUGUUUUGGUAAGAUAUAUUAAUUAAGUCUGUGUGCCUUUGUAUUCACAAUAGUUGAAACAUAUUUUAGCUCUUAAGUUUAGAUAAUCUUUUUUUUUUUCCUCUCCAUUAUUUUGGGAACCCUCUAUGAUCUUGAUGAAUUGAAUUUUCCCAAAAAUGGAGAAUAUAUUAUUAAAACUUAGUUUCCUUUUGUUUUUUUACUCUAGAAGACAUUUUUAUUGGAAUUCUUAAUUGAUUGAAAACUUUGAUAGUUGAAGAAUAAAUAUGUUCCCAUAUGCUUUUCUCUAAUAUUAGCUUUUUGUUGCAGGUCUUGCUGUGAUGAGCAGGUUAGCUCACGACCAGCAUCAACAAUUAGAAUAUGAUUUUGAGGGCAGAUCUUUAGAUUGGGACCAUGUUGAGAUGUUGGAACAAUGA